CCUGUUGCCCGCUACAGCGGCGCUUCGCGGAGCUCAACCCCGCGCCCAGACCUCGCUGUCGGCCGGCCGCCUUCCCGGGGGCGGUGAGCGGGCCCCGAGGCCGCGGGGCGGUGGCGGCGCGAGGCGGCCCGUAGACGGGAAGCUGGAACGUGCGCCCGACGACGCCUGGGAGAGGUUCCCAGGCCCCGCGCUCCACACCUCCCGCCUGCCCGCCGGGGCGUCGCCGUCCGCGAGCGCGAGCACGUGCGCGCGCAUCUGAAGGCGCGCCGGCUGCAGGAGAGGGAGGUGGGGGUCUCGGAGGCCCGCGCCCGGGACCCCGCCCGCAGUGCGGCGCCACGGCGGAAGAGAGGGUGAUAAGCCUGUGCGAGGAGGUGGAGGAGGCGGAGGCGGCGGAGGCCGCGCUGACGGCGAGGAGGGCCGCGGACUGCACCGGCGGAUGCACGGGAGCGGGUGUGACUGACGACGCGGGGACGGGUGGGCACCAGCCCGCGGGGGUAGGGGAGCCCGGCUCGCCCGGCAUCGCAGCCUCCGUGCUAGGCGGCGGGGGCAGAACGAGGAUAAUACCCCGCUCAGCUUCUCGCUUAGAUAUCGUUUUAUUUUUUUAACGUUGGCAAUUAGAAGAAAAUGAUUUGAUAUGUUGUUGUGAACCGUAAAGAUCCCUUCUAGUAAAAUAUUUGCAGAAUGUGGACCAGCUCAGUCGCUGGGGUGAAAACCCCGGCCGUAGGGCCAAAAAGAGAAGAGGGGGCGCCUUAGAGACCGGCUGCGAUGCGCCUGCACCGUCUCAGAUGACCUUAGGGCAAGUGGUCGCAUUUUGCACGGGUGGUUUCUUGUUUGCCUCCUCGGUAUGAGAGUCUUAGAAUUUACGUCGUGUUAAUGAACUUCCCCCGCUCGUACUCUCGAUUAUCAGCUGAUGGACUCCGUUCAGCUGGGAUGGAACCCGCACCCCCUUUAGUGGAAGUGCAGAAUCCUAACCACUGGACCGCCAAGGAAGUCCCAGACCGCCUACAUCUUGAAGUGGGUGCUGCCCCCCCCUGCUAGCCCACGUGGAGGGCCCACUGGACAGCCAGCAUCGACCGCGCGACCUGAACAAACCUCCAGGUGACUCCAGCUGAGGCCCCAGACAAGCCCAAACUCCCAGCCCACGGAAUCUAGUGGGGUUUCUAAAGGCAACUGCUUCAUGGGAUUGUUGAAGAGCACCUGAGCCCCGGGGCACAGAGGCCCUCACGUGGUCGGCAUUAUUCACCAGCCAGCACCUUUCAAGGCCAGAGGGAUUAGCUUCCACACAGGGCGCUCAGAAGGAUGGCCGUCACCCGCUGGAAGUCACCAUCACCACUUACCAUCUGGGAAGGUGCAGAGCUCCCUAUCACUGGAGGUGUGCAAGCCAAGGCGGGGAAACCCCUUGUCCGGGGCAUUAUAUAGGGAAUUCGAGGGUCAGGUUAGGGGCCGUGCCAAGGGCUGAAUUGUGUUUCCUCCAAAUCCAGAUGCUGCAGCCCUAACCCCCUGUACCACAGAAUGUGACUCUGGAGAUGGACCUUUAAAGAGGUGAUCAAGUUAAAAUGAGGUCACUAGGGUGGGCCUUAAGCCAAUAGGACUAGUGUCCUCAUAAGAAGAGAUUAGGACCCAGACACACACACAGAGAAGGUGAUAUGGAGACACAGGGAGAAGAGAGGCUUCAGCUUGAUCUUGGACUUCCAGCCUCCAAAACUGUGAGAACAUGAGUUUCUGUUGUUUAAGCCCUGUCUCUGUGGUCCUGUGUUAUGGCGGCCCUGGCAGAGAGGGUACUAGUGUCUCCACUGUCCGGGUGAGAGAGCCAUGCUGGUGGGGCAGGGGGAGGGCGAAGUGACACGCCCAGGGUCCCACAGCUACUGGCAAGUCCAGAUUCUAGUCCAGGCAGACCUGCCCCAAGUCUUUCUGCUGUACUUGUGAUUCGCCAUGACGGACGCCCUGGCAGGACUUUGUACAAGAUUCUAGAACUGUCUAGAGGAGGAAGGGGACUUGGGGACACCCAGGGAAGCCUUCCUAAAAGAGGUGUCGCUUAAGCCAGGCUUGGAGGAAGAAACCCUCAGCAGGAGAGAGGAGGAGGCCGUCAUCCUCCAGGACAGCACAGAACCUCCUACCAAUCCCAGGGCUCGGCUCCCGGGAGCGUGUGCAUCCCGACAGGAUGUCCUGUCACGUUGCACAGAGAGAAGCAUGUGCAGACACCACCCACCCCGGCAGCGGGCUCCCAGGUUCUGACUCCUGGAAAGAGACCUGGUUCUAAUCGCAGCCCUGCCUCUUUCUGGCUGUGUGCUCUCAGAGGAGUUAUACAGCCUGUCUGAAAAAGCUGUUGACAGUAAACGCCCCUCACAGGAUGCAUUCAUUCCUCAGGCGUGUAUUUCUCGUGCACCUGCUGUGCGCCAGGCGCUGCUGUAGGCACUAAGGAAAGAACAGGGGACAGAGUACUGCUCCGGACCUAUCAUUCUAGCCAAGGACCCACAGGGAGGAGGGGAAUGUAGCCACGUGGCCAGGGAGGCCUCUCUGCAGAGGGGCACUCUGCAGAAGUCUGUGGGUGGAGAAAAGAAACAGCGAUGAGGGCGCGGUGCUCACCGCCGGCCUGCUUCCGUGCUGUUAUUUCUAGACACGCCCCCUCUUCCUGCCGCUGCAGCUUCCGUCCGGCCACUCCUAGGAUCGACCGUCCCAAGCGCCUCUCCAAACCACCUGCUACUUUCUUGACAUCAAAUCCAAGAAACAAGCCCUCCUCUUGGCUUAAACCUGAAGUGCUAGUGACCAGAAGGGACCUCAGAAAGGACCGCACGUCUCUCUCACCUCCAAUGAGCUCCUCGUUUGCCCCGACCUGGGGACCGAGGGCCCCUGUCUGGUGUCCCUGCUGUUGAAGAGAUGGCUUCCCAGGGAGCUGGCACCCCAUAUUGGAGGGAGGCUGAGGCAGCCAGCCGGCUCUGAUGAGCCCUGCUCAGAUCCAAGGGCUGGUUCCCCUGCCAGGGUGACAGAGCCAUUCCCGCAGCUGGGGGUGUGCAGAGUCCUCCAGGGGAAGCUGGAACCAGGCCAGUCAAGGAGAGGCAGGCAAAGGAGCCCACUAGCUCUCUCUGGGUUCUCACUUUUCUUUCAAAGCCUCCAGCCCAUU